rnacentral:lncRNA from 1 species
GAAUCCAAGAGGAAAUUCUCCAACCUCUGAAUUGGAUAAUUCUCAUAGUAAAAGGAACCAGUUGAAAACUAUCAUUCUUGUACACUUUUUUUUUUUUUUUAACCCCAAUAAAGUUGGAGUUUUUGCAAGGUGGUAAAUGUUCAGUAGCUAGGCUUCCUUGAAGUAGCCAGCUGAAUCAGUACAGUAUCUAUAUUAUCAACAAAUACUUGUGAUCUUAUUGUAAGUUCUUUCUGUAGUGUCUAAUUUGAGUGGGUCAGAUACUUGGGGAAUGCAGCUAUAAAAUUUGGCUAGGUACCAAGUAGAACACAAAAUGGGAUUAUUUUUCCAAGUAAUUUUUUGCCAGUAACAAGUUAAUCAUAAAGAUUCCUCUCCCAUUUUUGUGCUUUUGCUGGUGCCAUGUAGGGACCAGGGCAUUUUAAUAAAUAAUCCCUGUCCCCUGGCUCUUUACUGGCAAGACUAUUGUAGGUUAGGUUAUUCAUAAGUCUUAAUGCUUUGUCUUGAUAUUUUCUCUUUUGUCCUGCUGUAUCUUUGUUCCUUUUAUAUCUUUAUUGCGGUGAUGAGUUCCUUCCAGAGGAAAAGCAAGAAAUCCAGAAAAGGUGAGCCUGGCAUUUGCUAGGAACCAGAGUGGAACCGGCAAAGUGGCCAGCAACAGAGUCCUGAUCCAAAUGGAGAAAGGGAACCAGGCGUACCUCAACCUGGAGUGGGAAACUUGAUAGGAGGUCAGAAGUACUUCAGCUUUGGAUUCUCAUUUUCCUUAUUUAAGGAGCUGAGCACCAGAAGGUAGAGACUGAGAAAGGGGAGACAGAAAACAUCAAAUCUUCAGUGUGCAGUUGUCAGUUGUAGCCUUACUUAGCGAGUUCUGGACAGUGAAAAAUAAUAGUGGAGUGACACUUUAUGAGCAGUUAUAGCUGCAGGAUAGGUUGUUUUCUUGUGUGGUGCCAUUCUUAGAAUAAUAAGAAUACAGUAGUUUAACAAAAGGAAAGUGAAGAUUAUAGUUAUUUUGCCCAACUUUUCUUUACUUUAAAUGAUAAAGAUUUCUUAGAUUUUCUUUUCAGAUUAUUGAUUUUCUCUUGAGUCACAUGAUUAUUUUCCCAUUUUACAG